rnacentral:rRNA from 1 species
UGGGGAAUAUUGCACAAUGGGCGCAAGCCUGAUGCAGCCAUGCCGCGUGUAUGAAGAAGGCCUUCGGGUUGUAAAGUACUUUCAGCGGGGAGGAAGGGAGUAAAGUUAAUACCUUUGCUCAUUGACGUUACCCGCAGAAGAAGCACCGGCUAACUCCGUGCCAGCAGCCGCGGUAAUACGGAGGGUGCAAGCGUUAAUCGGAAUUACUGGGCGUAAAGCGCACGCAGGCGGUUUGUUAAGUCAGAUGUGAAAUCCCCGGGCUCAACCUGGGAACUGCAUCUGAUACUGGCAAGCUUGAGUCUCGUAGAGGGGGGUAGAAUUCCAGGUGUAGCGGUGAAAUGCGUAGAGAUCUGGAGGAAAACCGGUGGCGAAGGCGGCCCCCUGGACAAAGACUGACGCUCAGGUGCGAAAGCGUGGGGAGCAAACAGG